GAUGAACGCUGGCGGCGUGCUUAACACAUGCAAGUCGAACGGGAAAUAUUUCAUUGUAGACUUCGGUGGUAUUUGAUUCUAUUUCUAGUGGCGGACGGGUGAGUAACGCGUGGGUAACCUGCCUUAGUACAGGGGGAUAACAAGUCAGAAAUGGCUGCUAAUACCGCAUAAGCGCACAGAGCUGACAUGGCUCAGUGUGAAAAACUCCGGUGGUAUAAGAUGGACCCGCGUUGGAUUAGGCUUGUUGGUGGGGUAACGGCCCACCAAGGCGACGAUCCAUAGCCGGCCUGAGAGGGUGAACGGCCACAUUGGGACUGAGACACGGGCCCAG
rnacentral:rRNA from 1 species